UGAGAACGACGAAUUUCAUAAUUUUACAUGAUUAGUCUCCGUCGACCAAAUAUGUAGCAAAAUGCCAGUGGAAAGUUAUGUAAUUGCAACCAACAGGACUAUAAUAGAUCAGACACGUUACUUAAAACAGCUGUUUAACUUUUAACAAUAGUGAUAAUAGGUGUUCGGUAAGGGUGUGAGAACAAUGGGGGGAGGAGUUACCUCAUGGGAAGAGAACAUAACGCCAUUGUUCCUAGUACACAUUAAACCAACCCAAGCACUCAGCAUUGUAUCAUUGUUGAUAAUUUAUUAGUUUUAGACAAGUAACACCUACAAGAUAAUAUUUACUCACUGCCAAAAAACAACAAUGGAGAUUCUGUACAUUUCAACAACCUUUCUACUCAUAACUGGGUCAACCGAUGGAGUGAAAAUUACUCAGAAAACAGAAGUUCUCUUUACCGAAAUCAGGACUCCGUCAGUGACACUGGAAUGCGAACAUGAUGAUAACAAUUAUUACUACAUGUACUGGUACAGGCAUCAUCAGGGAGGGAUGGAUAUACUGGCAUAUUCCGUUGCCGAAAACACAGUGAAUAUAGAGCCUCCUUUUAAUGAUUCCAAAUACGAAAUGCUCCGACCUCAUAUUAAGAUAUCGUCACUACAGAUAAAAAACAUAGAGGCUACAGACUCGGCUGUGUAUUAUUGCGCUGCCAGUAUGACACAAUGACUCAUGGCAAGAACGCAGCGCAACAAUAACUGCCAACCACAGUCUCUCAGAAGGAGAAAAAGGCUAAAUGCUACACCUGUGCUCUGUAGAACGAUUCGUCUGGGUGGUGAUGGGGCAAGGGCUGUUAGCUUACAAAAUUUACAUGAUACAAAAUCACAUGACCGCCAAAUGUUUCGUCAAUUACGAGAAGGUUAGGAGGAGGAGAGAGAAACCACAUCAAGAGGAGAGAGAAUCGCUGUAGCUUAUUUUAUGUAGCUCUUGUUAGUUGUUCUUGGUCAGAAUGUUCUGUCGGACUGUACAGAUUAUUUUGUAAGGAACUGUGUGGCCUUGGUACAUGGAAAAGCUUCUGCAAACUCAUUUGCGGUGUGAUACUGGAUCUUCACAGAAAGAGGCAACUUAGAAAAGUGAAAAAGAAGGCAAAGAGCACUUCAUUAUGAACAGAAUGGACUUUUUCUGGUUCCUAAUAACCUUCCUGCUCACUGCCAAAACAACGGACGGAGUGAAUGUGAUUCAAAAGGUCAAAAUUCUAUUUGCAAAAGUUGGGGAGACUUCAGCGAAGCUGGACUGUGAACAUGAUGAUAAUACACACUUCUAUAUGUACUGGUACAAGCAUAAGACCGGAGAG